UUUUAAAGGGAUCCUUCUGGCUACUUUGCUGAAACAAUAAUCUGGGGGGCGGGAGGAAUGCCACCGCUUGGACCAGAGUGGUAGCAAUGGAGGUAGUUAGAAAUGGUUGGAUUCUGGAUAUAUUUUGAAUAUUGAAUUGACACUAUUUUGUGGAGGAUUGAUAUGAAAGAAUGGACUCAAGGAUGACUCAAGUUUUUGGCCAGAGCCAUAGAGGACCUCAGGGUUGGCAUUUCCUGGUUGUCCCGGGAUCCACCACGUCCCAGACUGACACCCAAAGACUCACUGAGGCCUGAGUGAGGAAGAGUGAGAGAGUGGGGAGCACAGCAGCGAAUGUUGCCUUCAAGACUGGGAAGAGGAGCAGUGUUAAGAAGAGGAGGCGAGAACGACCCCUGGACCGACCGAAGCCCACACGCCGCUGCAUCCCGCGACCAGCGCCUACGUCCCAUUGCCAUCGCCACCAUGCUCAAGAGAAAGGCUGAAGGGGAUGCUGAAGGAGAUAAAGCCAAGCUGAAGGACGAACCACAGAGAAGAUCCGUGAGGUUUUCUGCUAAACCUGCUCCUCCAAAGCCAGAGCCCAAGCCUAAAAAGGCCCCUGCAAAGAAGGGAGAGAAGGUACCCAAAGGGAAAAAGGGAAAAGCUGAUGCUGGCAGAAAGGGAAUAACCCUGCAGAAAACGGAGAUGCCAAAACAGACCAGGCACAGAAAGCCGAAGGUGCUGGAGAUGCCAAGUGAAGUGUGUGCAUUUUUGAUAACUGUGUACUUCUGGUGACUGUACAGUCUGAAAUACUAUUUUUUAUCAAGUUUUAUAAAAAUGCAGAAUUCUGUUUUACCUUCUUUUUUUUUUUUAAGCUAUGUUGUUAGCACACAGAACACUUCAUUGUUGUUUUGGGAGAAGGGGCAUAUGUCACUAACAGAAUGUCUCCAAAGCUGGAUUGAUGUGGGGAAACGACUUUCCCUUCUAGUUUUGAGAGACUUCCUCUUGGCUCCCAGGAGGAGGGAUUCCCUGACUUUGACACACAUGGCCACCUUGGCACACAAAAGCCUUGUGGUAUGGAAAAACAAAUUCGCUUUUAUGUCCUCUUCUCCCUUUCCGUCUUUCAGCAUAGACUUAACUCCCUUAAGCCCAGGCAUCUGUUGGGACCUGACCCCCAGUCAUUGGUUACCAGUGUGUCAGGCAAUCCGGUCUUGCCAGUGAUGCCACUGAGAUGGCACCUGUUAAAAGAGCAGUGAUUCCAUUUCUAGAUUGUGGAUCUUCAGAUAAAUUCUGCCAUUUUCAUUUCACUUCCUGAAAGUCAGGGUCGGCUCGUGAAAAGUUGUUAAACAACGUGCUAAAUGUGAAAUGUCAACCCUCACUCUAAACUUUCCCUGUUCAGAGCAUCAGAUGAAGACUUCAUUGGGUUUUAUAGUGGCUUUCUGAUUUUUGGUAGUCCAUCAAAGAAGGGAGUUUGAAAGUUGUUGUAUACUGUUAAUGAUUGUCUGCCCAUGUCCUGCCUGAAAUACCAUGAUUGUUUAUGGAAAGUAUCUUUAAUAAAGCUGGAUACAGUUUGGCUUGGAAA